rnacentral:lncRNA from 1 species
UAGACGCUUCGCGUCUACUUUAGUCCGUGGGGACCAGUAGAAAUUUUAAAAAUUUUUGUCAGUACUACAAAAAAAAAAUCUCCAAAAUUAUCCAAGGAGUGCCCUAAACACGCAGUGGGGAAGAGACCUGCCGUAUCCUUAUAAGGCUCUGAGUUCAAACCUUAGCCUCGGCAUGGUGCUCUACCCAACUUUUUCUUUUUUUAGUACUUGGAAAACAUUAACAUCUAUAAUAAAUCCAAAAAUCUCAUCCAUUAUUCUGUAAGAGACCAACAUACAAAAUUGACGAAACACAAAGUCACGGUCUCACAACAUGUAAUUAAACGGGCUACACGUGUUUCGCUCUAGUUAGAGCAUCAUCAGGCCUUUAGAAGCCAUCCACACACUUAUGCUGUAACUGAUGAUGCUCUAACUAGAGCGAAACACGUGUAGCCCGUUUAAUUACAUGUUGUGAGACCGUGACUUUGUGUUUUUCUUUGUUUUUCGUCAAUCUAUAGUAAAUACAGAGAGAAAAGGAAAGGUCUUAUUAUAUAUUAUAAUCAAAAAUAAAUUUCAUUGAAAUAUUACUAACUUAUUUCUGGGUAUCAUGCUUCAGAGAACCAUGAUGUGUUACAAUACGCUCCGCUCUUUAAUUUUAGUUUAGUAGAAAAUAUUCUCAAAACCUACAUAUAUCAAAAUUAUGUCAGGGUUCUAAAAUGAAUCGGUAAUAAAAUCGUAAACCAGAUCAACAUUGGAAAUAAUUUAAAAAAUUUGCUUUGGUCCGAUUGAAAAAAGUACUAUACUACCAAAUAGUUACAUCUAUUCUGUAGCAAUAAAAGUUAUAAAAUUCUGUCUAUUAUUAAUUUUAAUAUUAUAAAGUGUAUCGUUUAACUCUUAGCCAUUAUUUAUAAUUUAAUUGUUAAUUAUGCCUAAAAAAACGAAUUAACAACUUUGGUAUUGUUUGGAUGGUAAACAGCUUAAUUCCUUUAUGUAAAGCCACCUUAACAUGUUUUUGCAUAAUUCUGACUCACGUUGGUUGCUAUCGGGCUUAAGCCAUAAAAAUCGAAGAAAAAAAGAAGAAGACGAAGAGACUUUCACUUGUCAUUUCAAUGUCACUUUCCGGCCCACAAGCAUAAACGCCACCGGCAACGGAAGUUCCCAAAAUCCAAACAAAUGUUGGAAGAUAUUUUUAAGUCUCCGCAUCUUUCUUACUUUCCUAUAUGAAAAUAAAAUUGGACUACACCAACAAAGGUUAUGUGUUUUGCACCAGAUUGAAAGCAUCACAGCGAAAAACGGACCUGUCAUAUCUUUAAAUUUUCAAAAGAGCCCCUGGAAAAAGAAAAAUGAAUAUCUUUGCCAAGGAAUAGGUACUAAGGCAAAUGGAUAAAAAACCUUCAGUCCAUGCAUUGGUAUGUAAUUGUUGACAAAAAUACAAUGAAUGGCCUCACUACUUUUCCACAUGCAAAGAGGUUAACCAAGGAGAAAUUAAAGAAAUUGUCAAAAACCUAGGUAAAUACAGAAUUGCUUAGUACAAACAUAUCUAUACCCAGUACAAGUUCGUCCACUUCUUUGAAGCAUGGUACUUCAAACAGAAACACUGUCAACAAUUUUGUAGAAGGUGAGCCGGUGUCAAAUUCCAGUAAGGGACAUGAUUUCAAUUUUGCACCAACAGCAGAGCUAAAAUUCAUUUUGCCGCAAAAAACUGGAGGAUGUGAAAGAAAAAAGUGCAGAAGUUAAAAUUAAGUUUUUCAUAUGAGCACAUAAAAAAUAAUCAUGACAAAGUUCAGUUGUAUACAGGUUUGACAUGUAAUAAAUAUUUUUGUAAUCUUAUUAAGUUAAUUAGUUUUAUAUAUUAUUUAAAUAAUAAUUGUAUACUUCACAUAGAAUAUGCAGAAAUUAUAUGUACAUAUAUAAAUUUUUUUAUUAAGAUAAGGACAACAUGUAUUAAAGCAUAACACAUAAUAUAAACACACACGUAAUAUCUUCAUUAAAAAUUAUGA